rnacentral:tRNA from 1 species
GCUAUAGUAGUUUAUUUUAGAAUUUGUAACUUGUAAUUACAAGGUAAUUUUAUUUAGCA